rnacentral:sRNA from 1 species
AUGUACCCACGUACACUCCGGUUCCUCCGCGCCGUCCGCGCCCACCUGACGGCUGCUCGCUACGUUUUGUUAGCC